rnacentral:tRNA from 1 species
GCCUUCGUGAUGUAGUGGUUAGCAUGCUCGACGCGUAACCGAGAGGUCCGUGGUUCGAUUCCCGGGGAAGGCG